rnacentral:sRNA from 1 species
CUAUAGCCCUGACAGUAGUGGCAUCCUUUUUCUUGCUGCUGCCAGCAAGAAAAAUAUAUGGCGCAUAGCAGGAACCAGC